UGUUAAAAGUUUCAUCCAUUUCUAUUGUUAAAAACCGGUGUGGUUGAUGAAAUAACCAAACAGUUACACAUAGCAACGUGCCACUGUACCUUAAACUGACCUGCAUGGACCAAUUAUUAAAAGUAAAAUUGAAUGAAAUUUUUAACA
rfam:Gossypium raimondii Chr04_contig_39, whole genome shotgun sequence.